UACGUAGGGGGCGAGCGUUGUCCGGAGUUACUGGGCGUAAAGGGCAUGCAGGCGGUCGUACGCGUUUUGUGUGACAGCGGGAGGCUUAACUUCCCGAGUAUGCGAAAGACGGUAUGACUUGAGGGCUCGAGAGGGACACGGAAUUCCGGGUGGAGUGGUGAAAUGCGUAGAGAUCCGGAGGAACACCGACGGCGAAGGCAGCGUCCUGGCCACGACCUGACGCUCAGGCACGAAAGCUGGGGGAGCAAACAG
rnacentral:rRNA from 1 species